GUUUUGGCAACAGGAUUCUUAGUCCUGCUUUUCUUUGAUGCAGAAAUACAGAAUGCAGGAGGGGGGGAGAAGAACCCUUGGAUCCUCCAUACCUUACUGGCAAUGCUCCAGGGCUUUUUGUGUUGAGCUACCAGCCUGGCAGAUUUCCAAGCAACAGAAUAUGGAUGGGACAAUGUACGAUCCUGCUAGAGAAGCACAGCAUCUUUAGCCAGGUAAAGUGGAAGAGAGGAAGAUGAGUUCAGGCUCGCGAGUGCUUGUACUGCCGAGAUCUUGAUGAAAACAACUUUUGUAAGCGUAGGGACUGGACUUGCCAUGCAGGACUGUGGGGUUACUGCUUUACUCGGAAGGUCGUUGUAGAUGGUAAAAUCAAGUGGGUGCACAGGGGCUGUGCAGAACGAUGCAUUAACACGCAGACCAAGAGACGGGUAGUAAAAAUGGAAUGCUGUACCAAAGAUUACUGCAACUGGGAAGUGAAUUUGUGGAACAAAUAAGAAUGGACAAGUUUCCUUUGAGGCUUACCUCAAACCAAUCUUGCUCUCAUCAUGUCAUCAGGACAGAACAUUUCUAUCUUUGGAGACAAUUCUAGUUCAAAUGCUUUCAGAUGAAUGAAGAAAAUCCACAGUGCAAACGAAUGCAGAGAAUGCCAAGUGCAAAUGAAAUGUCCUAAUAAAAGAAAUGUUUUACAAAA